UGGGGAAUAUUGCACAAUGGGCGCAAGCCUGAUGCAGCAACGCCGCGUGAGGGAUGAAGGCCUUCGGGUUGUAAACCUCUUUUAGCAGGGAAGAAGCGAAAGUGACGGUACCUGCAGAAAAAGCACCGGCUAACUACGUG
rnacentral:rRNA from 1 species